AACCACGGUCUUUUGCAUAUCAAUAAGCGGAGGAAAAGAAACCAACAGGGAUUGCCUCAGUAACGGCGAGUGAAGCGGCAAAAGCUCAAAUUUGAAAUCCCCCCGGGGAGUUGUAAUUUGAAGAUUGCGUCUUGGAGGCGACCGUGUCUAUGUUCCUUGGAACAGGACGUCACAGAGGGUGAGAAUCCCGUGCGGCACGGCCCCCGGCUCCUUAUAAGGCGCUCUCGACGAGUCGAGUUGUUUGGGAAUGCAGCUCAAAGUGGGUGGUAAAUUCCAUCUAAAGCUAAAUACAGGCGAGAGACCGAUAGCGAACAAGUACAGUGAUGGAAAGAUGAAAAGCACUUUGAAAAGAGAGUGAAACAGCACGUGAAAUUGUUGAAAGGGAAGGGCAUGCCGUCAGAUUGUCAGUGUGGGUAAGAAGCGGGGUACAAAGACUGUGGAACGUGGCCCUCGGGUGUUAUAGCCGCAGUUCAUGCCCCGUCUCUUUCCGAGGCCUGCUUUGAGGACACCGACGUAAUGACGGUACGCCGCCCGUCUUGAACCACGGACCAAAACCAUAAAUGGA
rnacentral:rRNA from 1 species